rnacentral:rRNA from 1 species
GACGAACGCUGGCGGCGUGCUUAACACAUGCAGGUCGAGCGGAAAGGCUCCUUUUUGGGGUACUCGAGCGGCGAACGGGUGAGUAACACGUGAGUAAUCUGCCCUUCACUUCGGGAUAGCUCCGGGAAACCGGGAUUAAUACCGGAUGGGACACAUCACCGCAUGGUGUGUGUGUGGAAAGUUUUUUCGGUGGGGGAUGUGCUCGCGGCCUAUCAGCUUGUUGGUGGGGUAAUGGCCUACCAAGGCUUCGACGGGUAGCCGGCCUGUGAGGGUGACCGGUCACACUGGGACUGAGACACGGCCCAGACUCCUACGGGAGGCAGCAGUGGGGAAUAUUGGACAAUGGGCGGAAGCCUGAUCCAGCAACGCCGCGUGAGGGAUGACGGCCUUCGGGUUGUAAACCUCUUUCGGUGCCGACGAAGCCUCUUUUGGGGUGACGGUAGGUGCAGAAGAAGGACCGGCCAACUACGUGCCAGCAGCCGCCGUAAUAC